rnacentral:rRNA from 1 species
UCCAGACUCCUACGGGAGGCAGCAGUGGGGGAUAUUGCACAAUGGGGGAAACCCUGAUGCAGCGACGCCGCGUGGGCGAAGAAGUAUUUCGGUAUGUAAAGCCCUAUCAGCAGGGAAGAAGAAAUGACGGUACCUGAGUAAGAAGCACCGGCUAAAUACGUGCCAGCAGCCGCGGUAAUACGUAUGGUGCAAGCGUUAUCCGGAUUUACUGGGUGUAAAGGGGGCGCAGACGGCGAUGCAAGCCAGGAGUGAAAGCCCGGGGCCCAACCCCGGGACUGCUCUUGGAACUGCGUGGCUGGAGUGCAGGAGGGGCAGGCGGAAUUCCUGGUGUAGCGGUGAAAUGCGUAGAUAUUAGGAGGAACACCAGUGGCGAAGGCGGCCUGCUGGACGAUGACUGACGUUGAGGCUCGAAAGCGUGGGGAGCAAACAGGAUUAGAUACCCCCGUAA